rnacentral:rRNA from 1 species
CCGCAGCGCGCCCUUCGGGUGAGCGGCGGACGGGUGAGUAACGCGUGGGUAUAUGCCCUUCUCUAAGGAAUAGCCUCGGGAAACUGAGAGUAAUACCUUAUACGCCCUACGGGGGAAAAGAUUUAUCGGAGAAGGAUUAGCCCGCGUUAGAUUAGGUAGUUGGUGGGGUAAUGGCCUACCAAGCCUACGAUCUAUAGCUGGUUUGAGAGGAUGAUCAGCCACACUGGGACUGAGACACGGCCCAGACUCCUACGGGAGGCAGCAGUAGGGAAUCUUAGACAAUGGGGGAAACCCUGAUCUAGCCAUGCCGCGUGUGUGAUGAAGGCCUUAGGGUCGUAAAGCACUUUCGCCAGAGAUGAUAAUGACAGUAUCUGGUAAAGAAACCCCGGCUAACUCCGUGCCAGCAGCCGCGGUAAUACGGAGGGGGUUAGCGUUGUUCGGAAUUACUGGGCGUAAAGCGCACGUAGGCGGAUUAGUAAGUUAGAGGUGAAAUCCCAGGGCUCAACCCUGGAACUGCCUUUAAUACUGCUAGUCUUGAGUUCGAGAGAGGUAAGUGGAAUUCCGAGUGUAGAGGUGAAAUUCGUAGAUAUUCGGAGGAACACCAGUGGCGAAGGCGGCUUACUGGCUCGAUACUGACGCUGAGGUGCGAAAGUGUGGGGAGCAAACAGGAUUAGAUACCCUGGUAGUCCACACCGUAAACGAUGAAUGCCAGACGUCAGCAAGUAUACUUGUUGGUGUCACACUAACGGAUUAAGCAUCCCGCUGGGGAGUACGUCGC